UCCGUGUUCACAUGUCAAAUAUACAAAUGCUGCCUUCGUCAGGCCCGGUCACUGCACCAUAUGGCGAUGAUAAGAUACGCAGCAGCGGAGAGAAGAAGGCGAGGAAUAAAGGAGGAAAACAUGGUCGUCUGUUUCAAAAGGGGCUGAAAUCUGAUCUCUGCAGGGAGAGGCACGGCUGAUGGCACCGUGUCGUCCGUAUCAUCUCCCUCUGAUCGCCCGUGCUUUCUAAUUACAUAAGGCCAUGUCUUUGUUUAGACAACAGCCCAAUGUGACACUUGUGACAUGAGGACGCUGUGGUUCGGAGGAUUUCCCCGCCGCACGCGUCUUAAUACGGCAGCAUAAAAUACCAUGUGAUUGGCUGUCCCUCGCCGAAAGCCUCAAGGAGAAUUAUAAAUAUACUGCCACUAAUAAAAUAUCA